AGUAUCAGGUGAUGAAACCUUGAAACAAUCUUAGGACACCUUCUGACACAGUGCUGUUUUCCUGUGAAUGAGAAGUCAUUUAUUUUCUGAUGAUACA
rfam:Triticum aestivum genome assembly, contig: Triticum_aestivum_CS42_TGACv1_scaffold_472257_6AL